rnacentral:rRNA from 1 species
CCACUAUGCUUAGCCGUAAACCCAAAUAUGUAAACCAACAAACAUAUUCGCCAGAGAACUACUAGCAACAGCUUAAAACUCAAAGGACUUGGCGGUGCUUUAUAUCCGUCU